UACGAAGGUGGCAAGCGUUGUUCGGAUUUACUGGGCGUACAGGGAGCGUAGGCGGUUGGAUAAGCCCUCCGUGAAAUCUCCAGGCUUAACCUGGAAAGUGCAGAGGGGACUGUUCAGCUAGAGGAUGGGAGAGGAGCGCGGAAUUCCCGGUGUAGCGGUGAAAUGCGUAGAUAUCAGGAGGAACACCUGUGGUGUAGACAGCUUGCUGGACCAUCACUGACGCUGAGGCACGAAAGCGUGGGUAGCAAACAGG
rnacentral:rRNA from 1 species